rnacentral:rRNA from 1 species
GACGGAGGGUGCUAGCGUUGUUCGGAAUCACUGGGCGUAAAGGGAGCGUAGGCGGGAGCCUAAGUUGGGUGUUUAAUUCCGGGGCCCAACCCCGGGCGUGCACUCAAAACUGGGUUUCUUGAAUAGGGGAGAGGUCGGUGGAAUUGGAGGUGUAGCGGUGGAAUGCGUAGAGAUCUCCAAGAACACCCGUUGCGAAGGCGGCCGACUGGACCCAUAUUGACGCUGAGGCUCGAAAGCAUGGGGAGCAAACAGG